GACGAACGCUGGCGGCGUGCUUAACACAUGCAAGUCGAACGGAGCGAAUGAAAGCUUGCUUUUAUGAGCUUAGUGGCAAACGGGUGAGUAACACGUAGACAACCUGCCGACAGGAUGGGGACAACAUUCCGAAAGGAAUGCUAAUACCGAAUGAAGCGGAGGAGAGGCAUCUCUCUUCCGUGAAAGAUGGCCUCUGAAUAUGCUAUCACCUGUCGAUGGGUCUGCGUCUGAUUAGCUGGUUGGUGAGGUAACGGCUCACCAAGGCGACGAUCAGUAGCCGGUCUGAGAGGAUGAACGGCCACAUUGGGACUGAGACACGGCCCAGACUCCUACGGGAGGCAGCAGUGGGGAAUCUUCCGCAAUGGGCGCAAGCCUGACGGAGCAACGCCGCGUGAGUGAAGAAGGUCUUCGGAUCGUAAAGCUCUGUUGAUGGGGACGAACGUGCGAAGGGUGAAUAAUC
rnacentral:rRNA from 1 species